rnacentral:lncRNA from 1 species
GUACGUACGUAAAUAUAUGUAUAUAUGUCUAUAGUUAGACAGGCCAGAGACUAUAGCGGAUUGUCUGUGCGCAUGCGCAGAUAUCUGUUUUCGCAGCAGCUGGUGAUUAGGUCAGUACCUACACGGCAAAUCACCAGAGUCUGCACGGCAAUAGUUUGCUUGUUUGUUUACAGUUUAGUAGUGGAUGUUAGUCCUGUUUCCUAUUCCUUUCCGACAAGUGUGUGGGUCACUGACGAACUGUGUCUAUCCCAUUGUAUGAACAUAAAGAUAAAGGGGCAGUACAAGAACAAGUCAGCAAGCAUCUCUGAGAGAAUUGUGAGUAAAUAAACUAUUUCUAUGUCAGUCACAAUAGAUGUACAGGCAAAGUUUUGUUGGAGGCCUGCCAAAGAGAAAGCCUUUUUAAUUCAUGUAAAUUGUAUUUACUAUAAUGUUACAUUCUUAAAGUAAGGUACAUCAUCUCCAUCACCGUUCAGUUCACACAUCCACCCCAUCCACCUACUACACUCCUUUGUGUAGUCUCAGCAGGUUGAGCUAUGGCCAUAAUCCUUAGUCAUGCUAGUUUGCAUUCGAAAAGCUCCUACAGCUGAUUGGCUAGGUUUGAAUCCAGGAAGCUAAUAGGUCAGACAGAGUCAGAUUAAUGAACUCAUAUUUUUAAGGCUGGCACUGAGAUGCUCUGGAAGUAUACUGUAUUUGUAAUUCACCAGCAGUACUACUAUACUGUUGUUCUUUUUUUGCAGAUUUUCACUAUAUCGUUGCAUUGAAGCAUAGCUUGACCGAGUUUCUGUUUCCAAAACAGAACUAAAGUCAGAAAUGUCUGGAUUUACUGAACCAUCACAACCGCUCAUGUCAGUGAAGAAGGAGAUAAAAGAAGAAGAAUUUGAUGAUUUCCUACAAGAGUAUUUGUCUGCAAUUCAGACAGUGGAAGAAAAGCCUGGAAUGGAAUGUGAAAUCAAGACUGAAAUGUACAUGUCAACAACCAUGAAAGAAGAAGAGUAUGCACCAAUGGAAAUUACAGAUGAAGAAGAAUUUGAUUUAAGUGAAUAUAGUCACCAUGUCUCUUCUCCUACAAGUAAGUUGCUUGUUCAUCGUUCCGCUUAUGUAUAGUUACACUACUUGAAUUUUAGAGAAUGGCUAACUUGUGCUUCACAAUGCGAGACCUAUUCAGAGAACAGAGAUACUGUGGGAAUACCUUAUUUAUGGGAUACUAGCUGCAUUCUGUUACAUUUAAAAAAGAGAGUCUGUCAUAAUUUUUUUCUCUAGCUCUGCAAUUGAUAUAUGUGUAUAUCUAUUAACAUUUACAUAAAUUCUCUAGGUAGACACUUUUCUUAAGUCACUCCCAUGUGAUGUACAUUUCUAGCAAAUAACCAAUAUAUAAAAAUAAAUAUAAAAAAUAUGUAUCUUUUUUGUAGAAA